rnacentral:rRNA from 1 species
AUUGAACGCUGGCGGCAUGCUUUACACAUGCAAGUCGAACGGCAGCGCGGGCUUCGGCCUGGCUGCGAGUGGCGAACGGGUGAGUAAUACAUCGGAACGUGCCCAGUAGUGGGGGAUAGCUCGGCGAAAGCCGGAUUAAUACCGCAUACGACCUGAGGGUGAAAGCGGGGGAUCUUCGGACCUCGCGCUUUUGGAGCGGCCGAUGGCAGAUUAGCUAGUUGGUGGGGUAAAGGCCUACCAAGGCUGUGAUCUGUAGCUGGUCUGAGAGGACGACCAGCCAGACGGGGACUGAGAGACGGCCCAGACUGCGACGGGAGGCAGCAGGGGGGAAUAGUGCACAAUGGGCGGACGUGUGAUGCAGCAACGCCGCGUGCGGGAUGACGGCCUUCGGGGUGGAAACCGCAGUAGCCUGUGACGAAGCGUGAGUGACGGUAAUGGGUAAAGAAGCACCGGCUAACUACGUG